GUAAGUAUAGCUCAAGUGGUAGAGCAUUAGAUUGUGAUUCUAAAAGUUGAGGGUUCAAAUCCCUUUAUUUACCCA
rnacentral:tRNA from 1 species